UGUCUGGAAGCCUGCGCCGCAGCCC
rnacentral:piRNA from 1 species